rnacentral:rRNA from 1 species
CCUACGGGUGGCAGCAGUAGGGAAUCUUUCACAAUGGGCGAAAGCCUGAUGGAGCAACGCCGCGUGCAGGAUGAAGGCCUUCGGGUUGUAAACUGCUUUUAUAAGCGAGAAAUAUGAUGGUAACUUAUGAAUAAGGAUCGGCUAACUACGUGCCAGCAGCCGCGGUCAUACGUAGGAUCCGAGCAUUAUCCGGAGUGACUGGGUGUAAAGAGUUGCGUAGGUGGCAUAAUAAGUAGCUGGUGAAAUCUGGUGGCUCAACCAUUCAGACUAUUAGCUAAACUGUUAAGCUCGAGACCGUUAGAGGUAACUGGAAUUUGUAGUGUAGGAGUGAAAUCCGUAGAUAUUAGGAGGAACACCGAUUGCGUAGGCAGGUUGCUGGGACGGUUCUGACACUAAGGCACGAAAGCGUAGGGAGCAAACGGGAUUAGAUACCCCUGUAGUC